rnacentral:tRNA from 1 species
GCCCCGGUAGCUCAGUGGAUAGAGCAUCCGCCUCCUAAGCGGAGGGUCGCUGGUUCGACUCCAGCCCGGGGCACCA